rnacentral:rRNA from 1 species
AUUGAACGCUGGCGGCAGGCCUAACACAUGCAAGUCGAGCGGAUGAAGGGAGCUUGCUCCUGGAUUCAGCGGCGGACGGGUGAGUAAUGCCUAGGAAUCUGCCUGGUAGUGGGGGAUAACGUCCGGAAACGGGCGCUAAUACCGCAUACGUCCUGAGGUAGAAAGUGGGGGAUCUUCGGACCUCACGCUAUCAGAUGAGCCUAGGUCGGAUUAGCUAGUUGGUGGGGUAAAGGCCUACCAAGGCGACGAUCCGUAACUGGUCUGAGAGGAUGAUCAGUCACACUGGAACUGAGACACGGUCCAGACUCCUACGGGAGGCAGCAGUGGGGAAUAUUGGACAAUGGGCGAAAGCCUGAUCCAGCCAUGCCGCGUGUGUGAAGAAGGUCUUCGGAUUGUAAAGCACUUUAAGUUGGGAGGAAGGGCAGUAAGUUAAUACCUUGAUGUUUUGACGUUACCAACAGAAUGAGCACCGGCUAACUUCGUG